AGAAGUCACACACGAAUAGAUAAUUUUUUUUAUUCCUUUGUGCCAAAUGUUUUUAGUUCAAUCAUGUUCCAUAGGAAAUAUUUUUCUGUCUGAUCAUGCUCCCCUGUUUAUGGUUUACUCUCUCCCUGGAGGGAAAAUAUUUUCCAAAAGCUGGAGAUUACAACCUGCCCUCCUGAAGGAUGAAAGAUUUGCAUCUUACUUCAUAUCAGAAUUCAAAAUAUUUUUUCUAUUAACUCCCUAUCUAUAAAUGAUCCCUCCAUCAUCUGGGAAACAUGCAAGGCCUAUUCCCGUGGCCUAAUUAUGUCUUUUGUAGCAUCUAAUAGAUGUCUUAAGUCUGUACAGCAAAGGUCCCUCGAAACUAAAUUACAUGAUUUGGAGAAGCUAUAUCUCUCGAGCCCUCACCCAAGCAUACUCUCAGAAUUGACAGCGACUCGCACUGCUUUGAAAACUCUGUUAAUUCAGAAUGCAGAAUUUUCUCUUAAAUUUGCAAGACAAAAGUUAUGAGUUUGGGGAUAAACCUGGUAAAUACCUUUCUAACCUUGUUAAAAAGAGAGCUGAAUCCCAGACCAUAAUUUCAAUUGAAGAUUCAAAUGGUAUUAAAUCAUUUGAUAGCAAAACCAUUAAUAACGAAUUUGCACUCUUUUAUUCAAAUUUAUAUAAAUCUGAGCAAUCAGAUCUUGCUUCAGCCCUCAUGCACUCUUUCUUUUCAGACAUUAAACUUCUUGUGGUUUCUGAGGCACAUAAAUUAAUGUUGAACGCUCCCAUCACAAGGGACGAGGCCUUGCUUGCUUUAAUAUCGAUGCCCUCUGGAAAGGCGCCUGGACUGGAUGGGUUCGGUUGCGAGUUCUACAAAGAGUUUGCAAUGUACUUUUGGACCCUAUGUUAGCCAUGUUUAAUCACUCUUUUGGGAAAGGGAUUCCACCUCAGUCAUUGCGCGAGGCAAAUAUCUCCCUCAUCCUUAAGAAAGGCAUAUAUCCUUAUAUCCUUAUAGAUGUGCCUCAUAUAGGCCAAUAGCUUUACUUAAUUCUGAUCAAAAACUACUUUCAAAAAUUCUAACUAUGUGCCUGGAGAGAGUUUUACCUGGAAUCAUUAAAGAGGACCAGACAGGUUUCAUUAAAAGACGCCACUCCACUGAUAAUAUGAGACGCUUACUUAAUAUUAUUCAGUUUUUUAAGAGUUGUAAAGAGCCAUUACUUGUUCUUUCCCUCAAUGCUGAAAAGGCGUUCGAUCGCGUGGAGUGGCCUUAUUUAUUUUCUACUUUAGAAAAGUUUUGUCUGGGUGAUAAUUUUAUUCAAUGGAUAAAGAUUCUUUAUAAUAAUCCAACUGCUGCGGUUGUAACUAAUGGUUUAAGAUCUGAUAACUUUCCUCUCUAUCGUGGUAACAGACAAGGGGACCCUCUUAGUCCUCUGGUUUUUGCUAUAGCCAUUGAGCCCCUCGCUCAAGCUAUUAGGCAGAAUACUGGUAUUUUCGGUAUUGUAGUCAAAAAUAGAGAGCAUGUAAUUUCGCUGUAUGCAGAUGAUAUUUUGAUUUUCCUUUCCAGGCCAUAAAUCUCCAUUUCUACCCUUAUUAAUUUAAUCUCCUCAUAUGGCUUAUUCUCGGGAUACAAAAUGAAUAUGUCCAAAUCUGAAGCUAUGCCUUUGGGGUCUUUACAACUUCCCUCAUUCUUACCAGGGUCCUUUCCUUUUCAUUGGUCACCCUCUGGGUUCGUAUAUUUGGGGGUGCAUAUUACUCCAUCUUUUGGGGAUAUGUUUAAAACAAAUUUUCCUCCUCUUUUUGAGACCAUAAGAGCUGACUUGGAGCACUGGUCUCCUCUUCCCCUUUCUUGGCUUGACAGGGUCGCUCUCAUUAAGAUGUGCAUCUUGCCUAGGUUACUUUACCCAUUACAAAUGAUUCCUAUUCUGCUGUCAAAAAAGGUCAUUAAGGUACUUGAGGGCUAGUUAAGCUCGUUUAUCUGGAGCAAAAGGAAACCAAGGUUAAAAAUGGCUAAACUCCAGUUGUCUGGUCCUGAAGGGGGUUUGGACUUGCCUAAUUUAAGGCUUUAUCAGCUGGCAAUUCACCUUCGUGUCAUGGGAGCCUGGUAGGGCUGCAACUAACGAUUAUUUUAAUAAUCGAUUAAUCGAUGAAUCGGAUAAAAAAAACAUUUUUAAUUUCCGCCUCUUUAUUCAGAAAUAGAAGAUUUGGAAUGACAGAACAAAUAAGAUCAUUAUAGGGAAGCCUUCAUCUUCAACCAUAGACAGAGGCCUCACGUCAGUGACGUUCAUGUUGAGGAUGCUCUCAGAGAGACAGCUGCUUGCUGUGGUGUACAUGGUGUCUUUCUCAUCAUGAAGCUUGUCAAUGCAGUUCAUCCUGCCUCACGCCAACACAGACCAGUGUCUUCACUCAGAUGUUGUCAGAAAAUUAAAACUUGAGGCUUAAUCUUCAAAUAUUACCACUAUAGUGUGCAAGUUACGUUCAUUUGUAAUGCAUAUUCAAACCAUGCUAAUGAAAGUGAAAUAAAACCUAUCUCUCACAGUCGCACAUGCCCCAUCUCUGUCAUUAAUCAGUAAUUAAGCUAAUCCUAGCAUCGGACAAGCUACCAGAGAGACUGAUAUUAUGUUUCCUCACUAUAAAACGGAACAAAUGUAGGCUAAUGCAGUGACUUAAGGUGCGUGUCCACUAGAUGCAACACAUCGUAUGUGGCCGGUUGGUGCGUUUCCAGCUGCGAUCCAGUGUGUUUACCUGCAGCUCAUUUUUAUAAAGUAGACUCGACUUCUGUUGUCCUUAAACAUCUAAACUAGCCGUCGGUGAACUAAAACCAGGACAGGUUCAGCUGCUGCACAGAUGAUUUCUCGCCUCAAAUGCUUCAGAAAUACUUUUCCCUGAAGUGUUUUCGAAAUAAUACAGAAAGUUUGCGGCCGAGCCGCUGUGUUUAUUAGACUCAUCUACCGUCAAGCUGAAAGCGUGUGACCGUCCGGCAUCAGUGCGAUUUUCAGAUGCAUGCAUUCGCAUGUAGUGGACACGCAGCAUGUCUUUGUUUUGUGAAGCGUGAAAUGCUCCCAUAUUUUUAAGGACUUCGGUCAAAGUGUUUUCUCCGUGCUGGUCAUGUUUCAUUUGUUGAAUUUACUUCCUUUUGAAAAUACCUCCUCUGCUCUGCCUCCACUUCGCUCUGUUCAACUCGCUCUGCAGGUGAAGGUUUUUAUUUUUAUAUAUAUAACUUUAUUUACAAAACUGAACAAUAACAGUUCACAGUUUCAUCGGGAACAUUGUACGCUCGAGGUGGUAUGCAUCUCAUAGUAUAAAACAGAUAUAAAGAAAGCAUAGAAAUACAUAAUACAGUUCACAAAAUUAAGAAAUAAAUAAAGAAUAUAUAAGAGGAAUGUACAUCAAAUGAAAUCAAAUUCAACACAAAGCGUUCUUGUCUUCACAGCUUUGGGGUUACUGCAAAGUUUUAAAGUGUCAAGGUAGAAUUUUAAAUAUGCAAGGAAGACAGUCAGGUUGAGAGGCAUCUGGCUGCAGACCUCCACUGUGAGGUCGCUUCUGGUGCAGACCUCCACUGUCAGGACGCCUCCACUGUCAGGACGGGAAGUAACCAUAAGCAUCCGGUAGGUGGCCGUAACACACCUGAAGUUGGUUUACUAACCGCUAAAUAAAUCAAAAGAAGAAGCCAUUUCACGCUAGUGAUCGUCUGUAUCGUUUGGCGUUUACGGUGAGUUGUUGAUUUUUAUUAUCCACAGAAAGUGUAAAUUACGGUGGCUGACAGGGGAAAAUGACGUGCAUAUACACAAACGAGCUGCAAAUACAUUAAUGCGCUGCAUAAAUGAAAAGAAAUGCAAAAAGAAAACGCUGCAUAUCCAGUCACACAGUAGAAGUAGUAGUGACAGUAGUGAGCUUUUCACCUGAGAGGCAGACAAUGGUGAGCGAGACAAGUAACGUUAGUUGAGGGAAAAACUGUAUGAAAAGGUUUGUCUUCUCUCAUCUCCAUGGAUAAACAUAAAUAACAGAGAGAACACAGGGAGAUGGUAGUAAAACACCACUUCAGCACCCAUAUAAUCACAGUGACUGAAAAGCUAAGGACUUAAAAACUCCUAAACAUUUAGGGAAACUAGAUGUCCACUGUCUCUGACAUAACCUAACUUUUUAUGUGUGCGAGUGGGGGGGUGGGUAUGUGUGGGUUUAUGUAGGCCUAUCGGGGGGGAUGAGGGGACCUGUGUGUUGUUUUUUUUUUUUUUUUUUUUGUAAAGCGCUUUGUGCUACAUUUCUUUUGUAUUAAAAGUGCUCUAUAAAUAAAGUUUGAUUGAUGGAUUGAUAACCAUGCCGACUUUUUAUGGGUGCUCGCUCAUGUGUGACUGGAUAUGCAACGUUUUCUUUUUGCAUUUUUUUUCAUUUAUGCAGCGCGUCUGUAUAUGCAACGUUUUUUUGUUGCAGCACGUUUCUGUUUAUGCAACGCUUUCAUGUAUUUGCAGCUCAUUUGUGUAUAUUGUACAUUUGCCCCUGUCAGCCACCGUAGUAAAUGCAUGUUUUUUUGUGUUCUUCGUCAGUAUAGCUGUUGCAAACUCAUGUAGGAGUCAUUAAUGAUGCAGUUAUUGGAUAUAGGUCACUUUUAUAAGUAGAUGUAAACAGGCGGUACAAAAAAUCAGAUAUAUACAUCAAGUCAGUAUUAGGCAAAAAGACCUGCAGUGUAAAUGAGGCCUAGAAAUGUAUGUAGAAAUUAAGUUUUUUCACAUUUUAACUGUAAGCAAAGAUAAAUUAAUUUGAAAUAAAGUUCAUGUACUAUAAUUCAAACACAACACAAUUUUAUAUCCUUUUCAGAUGCACCAUUCAAUUUUUAAGUCAGUCAGAAAGCCUGCAGUAGAACGCUGCACAACAUGCUGCAGUUUGUUUCACUGCCCCCUUUGCCCCAAAGGCAUGUUUAAACCAAGCAUCCCGUCAAAGCUUCAGCGACAUUUGGAGGUCCACCUAAAAAUGCCAUUACAUUUGAAGAUAAGAAGAUCUGGACAGAUACAUCAAAAGCCCUCCUGCAAGGUGAGGUGUCACCAGUGUUUAGGCUGAAGAAAAGAAGGGUGGAUGACAUUACUAUGGAAGAAGAGCAGUAAGCUGAGGUUUCAGUCAGACCUGCUGAUGUGAGCAUACCAGUGGAAGGGGACUCAGUUGAAGUGCGUAUUCUGCAUGAUUGCAGACAUGCAGCAGAGUGGGUUGAGGCCAAUAAGACACUCUUCUCUGCCAGAGUGGACCUGCCUGAAGUUCUAUACAUGGGGGAGGAGGAACAGGCUGAGGCUGCUCUGCAGUAUAAAAGACUCGGGCAAGAAGACAUGGAUGAGCAGGAAAGGGAAGAAAUCCUGGAGAUCUUCAAAUUCACAUUCUACAACAUUGAGGACGUGGAAAUUUUGUGACAUAGUAAAGGACGAAAACAAUUAUUUGGCAUAUUGUGAAUGUCACAAAGAUGAAUAAUUGAAGGAUAACAGAACAUUUGAUCAUGUUGUGACUUUGUGUGUUCAUGUUUUGUUUUCUCAUUGAGCACUUAAUAAUUCACUUGAACUACACUGUAGAUCUCAAGAGUUUGGGUAGUAGUUGGUGGUAUUUAGGUGCUCCAGCAGCACAAGAACAUAAUUAGCAUAGACAAAAGAUCCUUGGCUUUAUAGGCUACAAAUAGACACUUGAGCCCCAAGUCACCCACGUUUAUGUUUUCCGUAAUGACCUAAGCUGUAAUAUUACACAAAACAGUGUAUAUUGCUCUAUGUACAUGGCAAUCAUUAAUGAGAAGUGUUUUGAAAAAGUCAAAUGCUAAUGCUUCACUUGUCCAAAUAAAAAGAACCAGAAAAGCA